CAGAAUAUAGUACAGCAUCGAGCGAAUAUACACAGAAAUCAUCAGCAUUAACGGGUAUCUCCGCAAUACUUGUAUAUUGUGUACGUAGAAGAUGCUUACAAACUCUUGGGAUCACUUCAUUACUUACUGAGGAAAAAUGUGGAAUUUAGCUGGACUGAGAAAUGUGGGAAGUCAUUCCAAAAGCUUAAGAAAUAUCUCUAAGUUCGAUUCUAUCAAUAUAUGAUCAAAAUCAAGAAAUAUUCAUUUAUACAGAUACAAGUGGGGAUCGGUUUAGGAGCUGUUUUGAAGCAACCCCGAGACAACGGAAUAUUACAGCCUAUUGCUUACUUCUCAAGAAAAUUGAAACUGACAGAAUCGAAGAAGAAAGCGUUCCAUCUCGAAUGUCUUGUUAUUAAAGAAGCGAUUCUGUAUUGGCAACAUUGUUUAAUCGGCAGAAACUUUACCGUUUUAUCAUUUUCAUUGAUUAUUUUUGAAGCGUUACUGUUUAUGAUAAUAAAUAAUUAUUUACACAAAAGCUGAAAAUAUGGAUUCACUUGAGCUGUGACUCAGCUUAGUUCUUUAGUGCAUGUUAUACUUACCGUCAUAGCGCAAAAUUGGUUUUCGAAAUUCAAAAAAUGCAAAAAAUGCCAUUCUUAUUAAGUAAUUACCGAAGAAUCGAAAUAAAAUAUCUUUGUUCUGGAAUUAUUCCACAUGAUUUAAAAAAGAAAACGUUUCUCUAGGACCAAUUGGCUCUAAGAUCAAUCUAAAAAAGAAUCGUCAAUACUAAACAAUUAAACAAUAAAAGAUGAAACAUGUGCCAUUUUAAAGUUUAUUACUUGUAUUAUAUGUGGAUUGUUUUUCGUACUGAUUGGAUAGAAGAACGUUUGCAGAGUUGUUUGGAGUGUACAGUCCCGAGAACUUCAGCGUUGCGGGUGUCACAUAGAAGACACAGAAAAUCGCGAAAUUAAUAGAUCACCGGUUGUCUCCUCACGUCGUAGUUCGAACUUUUCGCAAGUAAGGUAAAAAUUUCGGACUUUAGAUAUGAUAGUAAAAUUUAUUAUAUGAAUCCAACAGAGUAACGGUUCAGAGUGUUAUAAUAAAAGCGUAUUAAGUGCUGAAUUUGGGAAGGUUUAUAUACUAAGGUUUGAUUCCUCUGAAGGAGUUAUCGUCG
rnacentral:lncRNA from 1 species